ACAGAAGAAGNNNNGNCUAANUCCGUGCCNGCNNCNGCGGUNAUACGGAGGGUGCNAGCNNUANUNGGAAUNNCUGGGCGUAAAGCGCNNGCNGGCGGCCUGUUAANUNAGAUGUGAAAGCCCGGGGCUUAACNNGGAAUUGCANNGAAACNGGCNGGCNAGAGUNNNUAGAGGGGGGUAGAAUUCAGGUGUAGCGNUGAANUGCGUAGAGAUCUGAAGGAAUACCAGUGGCGANGGCGGCCCCCUGGACAAAGACUGACGNUCAGAUGCGAAAGCGUGGGGAGCAAACAGGAUNAGAUACCNUGGUAGUCCACGCCGUAAACGAUGUCUACUNGGAGGUUGUGGCCNUGAGCCGUGGCUUUNGGAGCUAACGCGUUAAGUAGACCGCCUGGGGAGUACGGUCGCAAGAUUAAAACUCAAAUGAAUUGACGGGGGCCCGCACAAGCGGUGGAGCAUGUGGUUUAAUUCGAUGCAACGCGAAGAACCUUACCUACUCUUGACAUCCAGAGAAGCUUGAAGAGAUUCGAGUGUGCCUUCGGGAACUCUGAGACAGGUGCUGCAUGGCUGUCGUCAGCUCGUGUUGUGAAAUGUUGGGUUAAGUCCCGCAACGAGCGCAACCCUUAUCCUUGUUUGCCAGCACUUCGGGUGGGAACUCCAGGGAGACUGCCGGUGAUAAACCGGAGGAAGGUGGGGACGACGUCAAGUCAUCAUGGCCCUUACGAGUAGGGCUACACACGUGCUACAAUGGCAUAUACAGAGGGCAGCAAGACCGCGAGGUGGAGCGAAUCCCAGAAAGUAUGUCGUAGUCCGGAUCGGAGUCUGCAACUCGACUCCGUGAAGUCGGAAUCGCUAGUAAUCGUGGAUCAGAAUGCCACGGUGAAUACGUUCCCGGGCCUUGUACACACCGCCCGUCACACCAUGGGAGUGGGCUGCACCAGAAGUAGAUAGCUUAACCUUCGGGAGGG
rnacentral:rRNA from 1 species